UACAGAGGUGGCAAGCGUUGUUCGGAAUUACUGGGCGUAAAGGGCGCGUAGGCGGGAUGGCAAGUCGGUCGUGAAAUCCCUCGGCUCAACUGAGGAUCGUCGAUCGAUACUGCCGUUCUUGAGGAUUGCAGAGGAGACUGGAAUUCCCGGUGUAGCAGUGAAAUGUGUAGAGAUCGGGAGGAACACCGGUGGCGAAGGCGGGUCUCUGGGCAAUUCCUGACGCUGAGGCGCGAAAGCGUGGGGAGCAAACGGG
rnacentral:rRNA from 1 species